UACCUUGCCAUGAACAGGAGAGUACUCAUUUCCGGAGGUCACAGAGAGUGGGGAGCAGGUGGGAGCCCCAUACGGAAAGAAACGGGGAAGUUCACCUGGGAGCAACCGGACUGAACGGAGUAGGUCCGGCGCCGGCCCCGUUAUCGGCCAGAUGAGUGAAAAAAUAGGGUGGUACCGCGAACCUUCGCCCCUUGU
rnacentral:ncRNA from 1 species